GAAUUCGCCCUUAGAGUUUGAUCCUGGCUCAGGAUGAACGCUGGCGGCGUGCCUAACACAUGCAAGUCGAACGAGAUGCGUAUCGGAAAGCUUCGGCCGGAAGAUACGUUAUCUAGUGGCGGACGGGUGAGUAACACGUGGGUAACCUGCCUUAUGAAGGGGGAUAACAGAGAGAAAUCACUGCUAAUACCGCAUAAGCACACAUUGCCGCAUGGCAGAGUGUGAAAAGAUUUAUCGCCAUAAGAUGGACCCGCGUCUGAUUAGCCAGUUGGCAGGGUAAAAGCCUACCAAAGCAACGAUCAGUAGCCGAUCUGAGAGGAUGACCGGCCACAUUGGGACCGAGACACGGCCCAAACUCCUACGGGAGGCAGCAGUGGGGAAUAUUGCACAAUGGGGGAAACCCUGAUGCAGCGACGCCGCGUGAGUGAAGAAGUAUUUCGGUAUGUAAAGCUCUAUCAGCAGGGAAGAUAAUGACAGUACCUGACUAAGAAGCCCCGGCUAACUACGUGCCAGCAGCCGCGGUAAUACGUAGGGGGCAAGCGUUAUCCGGAUUUACUGGGUGUAAAGGGAGCGUAGACGGAGUGGCAAGUCUGAAGUGAAAACCCUGGGCUCAACCUGGGGACUGCUUUGGAAACUGUUAAUCUAGAGUGUUGGAGAGGUAAGUGGAAUUCCUGGUGUAGCGGUGAAAUGCGUAGAUAUCAGGAAGAACACCGGAGGCGAAGGCGGCUUACUGGACAAUAACUGACGUUGAGGCUCGAAAGCGUGGGGAUCAAACAGGAUUAGAUACCCUGGUAGUCCACGCUGUAAA
rnacentral:rRNA from 1 species